rnacentral:misc_RNA from 1 species
GAUGAAGAACGUAGCGAAAUGCGAUACUUGGUGUGAAUUGCAGAAUCCCGUGAACCAUCGAGUCUUUGAACGCAAGUUGCGCCCGAAGCCAUUAGGCCGAGGGCACGCCUGCCUGGGCGUCACACGUCGUUGCCCCCCCAUCUACUCCUUCGGGAUUGCGGGGGGCGGAUGAUGGCCUCCCGUGCGCCUCGUCGCGCGGUUGGCCUAAAUGCCAAGUCCUCGGCGACGCACGCCACGACAAUCGGUGGUUGCGAAACCUCGGUUGCCUGUCGUGUGCGGUCGUCGCGCAUCGAGGGCUCGAAAAAAUUGCCGGGCUUCGGCUCGACUUUCAACGCAACCCCAGGUCAGGCGGGGUUACCCGCUGAAUUUAAGCAUAUCAGCGGAGGA